ACACCUCAACUCUUCAUGGUUUUCCGUGAUGAGCUUGGAUUUUGGGGGUUUUGCUGGCCUAUGGUCGGCUCCUCUAAAAUGAAUCAGCUUGCCAGUGUUUGGUGGGCAUCACAGGUGUGAUAAGUAUCUACGCUUGUGGUUUUCCACCAGUUAACCUUCAGCAGUGGAGGUUCACUGGAGCUCACAGAUGUCUCUCCUAAGUGAGGACGGCCCUUUGAAU
rnacentral:misc_RNA from 2 species